rnacentral:rRNA from 1 species
CCUACGGGCGGCAGCAGUGAGGAAUAUUGGUCAAUGGGCGCGAGCCUGAACCAGCCAUGUAGCGUGAAGGAUGACUGCCCUACGGGUUGUAAACUUCUUUUAUAAAGGAAUAAAGUGAGGCACGUGUGCCUUUUUGUAUGUACUUUAUGAAUAAGGAUCGGCUAACUCCGUGCCAGCAGCCGCGGUAAUCCGGAGGGUCCGAGCGUUAUCCGGAUUUAUUGGGUUUAAAGGUAGCUUAGAUGGGUUGUUAAGUCAGUUGUGAAUGUUUGCGGCUCAACCGGAAAAGUGCAAUUGAUACUGGCAGGCUUGAGUACAGUUGAGGUAGGCGGAAUUCGUGGUGUAGCGGUGAAAUGCUUAGAUAUCACGAAGAACUCCGAUUGCGAAGGCAGCUUACUAAACUGCCACUGACAUUGAUGCUCGAAAGUGUGGGUAUCAAACAGGAUUAGAUACCCUAGUAGUC